rnacentral:rRNA from 1 species
GCUAAUACCGCAUAACGUCGCAAGACCAAAGUGGGGGACCUUCGGGCCUCAUGCCAUCAGAUGUGCCCAGAUGGGAUUAGCUAGUAGGUGGGGUAACGGCUCACCUAGGCGACGAUCCCUAGCUGGUCUGAGAGGAUGAUCCGCCACACUGGGACUGAGACACGGUCCAGACUCCUACGGGAGGCAGCAGUGGGGAAUAUUGCACAAUGGGCGCAAGCCUGAUGCAGCCAUGCCGCGUGUGUGAAGAAGGCCUUCGGGUUGUAAAGCACUUUCAGCGGGGAGGAAGGCGUUAAGGUUAAUAACC